AUUGAACGCUGGCGGCAGGCCUAACACAUGCAAGUCGAACGAGUGGCGGACGGGUGAGUAAUGUCUGGGAAACUGCCCGAUGGAGGGGGAUAACUACUGGAAACGGUAGCUAAUACCGCAUACCAUCGGAUGUGCCCAGAUGGGAUUAGCUAGUAGGUGGGGUAACGGCUCACCUAGGCGACGAUCCCUAGCUGGUCUGAGAGGAUGACCAGCCCCACUGGACCUGAAACACGGUCCAGACUCCUACGCGAGGGAGCGGUGGGGAGUAUUGCACAAUGGGCGCAAGCCUGAUGCGGCCAUGCCGCGUGUAUGAAGAGGGCCUUCGGGUUGUAAAGUACUUUCAGCGAGGAAGCGUUACUCGCAGAAGAAGCACCGGCUAACUCCGUGCCAGCAGCCGCGGUAAUUC
rnacentral:rRNA from 1 species